rnacentral:lncRNA from 1 species
GUUCCUCAGCCUGUUUGUGUUGCUAGAAAGGAACACCUGAGGUUAGGUAAUUUAUAAAGAAAAGAGGUUUAUUUGGCCCCUUUUUGUACUAGAAGCAUGGCGCCAGCACCUGCACCUGGGGAGGGGCUCAGGCUGCUUCCACUCACGGUGGAAGGGGAAGAGGAGCCGGCACGCGGAGAGAUCAGAGAGAGAAAGUGGCAGGAGGCGGCCAGGCGCGGUGGCUCAUGCCUGUAAUCCCAGCACUUUGGGAGGCCUAGACAGGAGGAUCACCCGAGGUCAGGAGUUUGAGAUGAGCCUGGGCAACAUGGCACGACCUCAUUACUACUAAACAUACACAAAUUAGCCAGGUGUGGUGGUAAAUGCCUGUAAUCCCAGCUACUUGGGAGGUUGAGGCAGGAGAAUUGCUUGAACACAGAGGUGGAGGUUGCAGUGAGCUCAGAUCGUGCCACUGUACUACAGCCUGGGCGACAGAGCAAGACACCAAGACUCCGUCGAAAGAAACAGAAAGGAAGGAAGGAAGGAGAGAGUGAGAGAAAGAGAAAGAAAAGAAAGAAGGAAAGAAAGAAAGAAAGAAAGAAAGAAAGAAAGAAAGAAAGAAAGAAAGAAAGAAAGAAGGGAGGGAGGGAGGGAGGGAGGGAGGGAGGGAGGGAGGAAGGAAGGAAAGAAAGAAAAGAAAGGAAGCAUGGGGGAGGUGCCAGGCUCUUUUUAGCAUCCAGCUUUCACAGAACUAAUACAGCAAGAAGUCACUCACAGCCCCUCCAUUAAUCUAUUCACGAGGGACCCACCCCCAUAACGCAGACACUUCCAACCAGGAGGCACCUCCAACACGGGAUACAAUUUCAACAUGAGAUUUGGAGCGGACACACAUGCAGGCCAUGGCGGCGUUCUAACGAGAUGGGGUGCAGCGUUCUAACCAGACGGGGUGCAGCGUUCUAACGAGACGGGGUGCAGCGUUCUAACGAGACGGGGUGCAGCGUUCUAACCAGAUGGGGUGCAGCGUUCUAACGAGAUGGGGUGCAGCGUUCUAACCAGAUGGGGUGCAGCGUUCUAACGAGAUGGGGUGCAGCGUUCUAACGAGAUGGGGUGCAGCGUUCUAACCAGAUGGGGUGCAGCGUUCUAACGAGAUGGGGUGCAGCGUUCUAACCAGAUGGGGUGCAGCGUUCUAACGAGACGGGGUACGGGGUGCAGCGUUCUAACGAGACGGGGUGCAGCGUUCUAACGAGAUGGGGUGCAGCGUUCUAACGAGACGGGGUGCAGCGUCCGUUUGGGAAGGCGGAAGAAGCCUGUGAGGUCCAAGAGGGCGGAUGGAGAAAGUUCCCCAGCAGGAACUCCCCGCUAGGGAAGCUUUAGAAUUUGCCCGGGAGAGCGGGGGGGUGCUGCGGUGGUCAGUGUGGAGCAUUUGACCGGUGGAGGCCCGGGAUGCACCGUCCUGCCGCCCACGCACUCGCGGCAGAGCCCAGGGCGGCCUGCGCAGCUUGCAUAGGGCCCACGGGACGCCGCCCACGGGGAAAGCCGUCUGUAACCAUCCGAGCCUAGAUACUCCCUGUUUACCUGCAGACACACCCACCGCACGGCCCAGGAAUACGGCCACUGCGGAAGUCAAGAGGAGACUGCUGCGUUCCCUUUGAAACAGCCCAGGGCGGCUCAUCAAGGCUGCAGAAAACAUUACAGCCCCACAGGCAGGGCUGCUCCGGCCUUCGUUUAGCAGCUUGAUUGAGGCGUCAUUGGCACACGGCGAACUGCGCGUCAUUAACGUGGGCGGUUCAGUGAGUUCUGAGGAACGCAUAGCAGGUGGAUCCGUCGCCACAGUCGGGAAAGCGAGCACGGCCUCUCCGAAGCCUGCCCGGCUCCUCGGGAACCUGCCUCCCGCAUGGCAGCUGCUGCCCUUCGGAGGCCGACCCGACCCAUCCCUGGGUGCUGUCUAGGUCACUGUCCUUGUGUGUUUUUGUUUUACUUUAGAACUCUUAUAAAGACACAAACCGAUGAGUAGAGACAAACUCACACUAGGAAAUGGACUGGGUGUGGUUUGCAAAGCGGGGAGCGCGGUCUGUGUCCGGAACCCUCUGAGCUCAGGCAGCGUCCUGGGCUGUUUCCUGGGGCAGCGGCCACAGCCGUCCUAUCUGCAGAGCAUCCUGCUUUCCUGGAGGGCAUCUGCGAUGGCCCCCAGGCUGUACUGUUCCCUGUAAGUCCCGAGCCCCCUGUGGGGACAGGCGCUGGGAGGGGUGUGGCCUGCUGGGGGCUCUCGGAUGUGUUGCCCCAGGGAGCCCGGCCGGGUGAUGCCUCGGGGUGACUGGGGACGGCAGGAGGGAGGGGAAGGCAGGGCGCGGAGCAGUGAGGUCGGCAGCUUCUUCCCAGCGCUCGUCGACACUCCAGCCUCUUCAGCCACGUCUGGGGUUGCGUGAGCCCAGACAGAACUCAUGGCUCGAGGCUGGGAGGCUGAGAGGCCUGAAGGGGGCCUCUGAUUUCCAUGUACCCCCUGCACCCCAUGUUCGUGUGGCCUCCGCACUUGCCCAGGGCCUCUGCCGUGUGACAGCCCCACCCCAGCCCCACGCUGCCCCAGGGUCUCCCUGGAGCGCCGUCUGUCCUCUGCCAGGCUGUACCUGGGUCCCGUGACUGAGCGGCACUGGGUGGAGACUCACUUCCUGGCUCUUCUCCCAUCGCAGCACCUGAGCAGCCCCGUGACUGCGGCCUGAGGUCUGCCCCACGUGCGCUGUGGGCCAGGCAGAGCGCCAGGUGCACCCAGGAUGCCUUCAUCUUCACCGCCGCUCCAGAGCCAGGGACUGGUGACUAACCCUGUAUCCACGAGAUAGCAGGCUCAGUACGGUCAGGGACUUGUCUGAGGUCUCACAUCCAGGGUUGUUCGCCGUCCCCGGGCUCAGUGUCUCGCUCCCCGCCUGCGGAGUGGAGUAGUUCUGAGAUGUGUGCAUGCCAUCUCCCUUUCAAUGGCGCCAUCCUACAAGUGGCCUCAGCCAAGGUUCAGCCAGUAGGAGGCAGACCUGGAGAGAUUUAGAGCCUGGAUCCGGCACCACGAUGGGGGCCUGGGAGCGAGGUCCAGGCAGGCAGGCCGUGGGAAGGGCAGGCUGGACCUGGGGCAGAGCUGAAGCUACCGCCCACAGCGGAAUUUCUUCUCUGGAAAGCCUUUCCAGUGCUGAAUCGGGCCCACCCGGAUUGUCUAACAUAGUCUUCCUCAUUUAAAGUCCACUGUGAUGGGUCUUUUGCACACCAACAGAACACCUCCACAGCCACAUCUGGACCCAUGUUGAAUGAAUUACCGGGGACUGUCACCUGGUCAAGGUGACAUAUAAAACUGACCCGCACAGUAGGUGCGAAUGUCUUUCCAAUUCUUUGCAGGAAACUGAGGCACAGCAAUGCAGAUAGCACAGCUGGUAAGGGAAGUGCCUGGGAUGUGAACCCAGGAACUGUGCCCAGGAGUGGAUACAAGCUUCCAUCUUCGGACAGUGCCUCAGGCUCCCCCGAGAUGUCCAUGGGGUCAGGUGCCCUGACACCGGUCUCUGCACAUGAAAGUGUUGAGUCUUCAUGCUGCCUAAGUAGGUUUUGCUCUUGUUUUCAGUGAGGAGACUGAGGCCCAGGACAUUGAAUGACGCCCAUGUUCAUCCAUAUAGUGGUAAAAGAGGCAGAAGCCCCCGGGCCUAUUUGAUGAUAGAGCCCAGGCCUUUAGGCCCUGCUAGAGCUGACCUCACGCACCCGCUCCGCGUGGGGCAUGGAGACGUCUCUGGAGUAGAGGCGAGGCCUAGAACCAGGCAGGCUGUCUUUGCCAUUUUUUUCCUUUCUGAAUGUCCUAACUAGGGUAUAGAUUAUCCCUACCCUCUGCAUGGGCCUUGCACUUAAUUUGCUUGCAAUUAAUUAAGGGAUAUUUUGUAUUCCGUCAAUAAAGGGAAUCAUUAUUUUUUUAAAGGAACCCAGCUUUUAAAACCCCUUUUUGCUGAUACAUAACUUAAUUUGUUCCUGCUACUGUAACAAAACACCAGAGACUGGGUCAUUUAUAGACAACAGGAGUUUAUUUCUCACAGUUCUGGACGUGGGGAAGUCCAAGAUCAACGUGCCAACAGGUUCAGUGUCUGGGGAGAGCCUGGUCUCUGCUCACAAGACAGCACCUUGAGCACUGUGCCCUCACUGGUAGGAGGGGUGAACAGCCCCCUGGCACUUCUACAAGGGCACUAAGCCCAUCCCUCAUGACCCACUAACCUCCUCAAGGCCCCACCUCUUACUGCUAUCACGUUGGUGAUGAACUUUCAGUCAUCAAGGGGGAUGCAUUGAGGCCACUGUAUAUAUCCCAUGAAGUAGCUUACUCUUGUGUUCGGCUUGAUUCUAUUUACAAAGUGAACACACCCAUGUGUCUGCAAAUCAAAUCAAGAUGUAGUCACCGUUUUCAUCACUCCCCAGAAUUCCUUUGUCUUUUCUGAGACAAUACCCCCAAAAAUAACCACUGUUCUGAUUCCUAUUAUUAUAGGUUGGUUUGGCACAUUCUUGAAUUUCAUAAAAAUUGAAUCAUACUAUAUGUGCCCUUUUGUCUAUGUUUUUCAUGUUUUCAAGAUUCAUUGUUAUUGAACAUAUCAGUUUCUUCCUUUUUAUUACUGUAUUAUUAGUAUUCUAUUAUUCUAUGAAGAUACAAUACUUUAUGAGUUCACCUGUUGAUGGAAUUUGGGUUGUUUCCAGUUGCGAAGUAUUUGAACUGUUUUGAAGAAAGAAUUCUUGUAAAAAUCAUUUUUUUUUUUUGAGACAGGGUCUUGCUCUGUCCACCCAGGCUAGAGUGCAGUGGUGGUGAACAUGACUCAUUACAGCCUUGACCUCCCAGCCUCAAGCGAUCCUCCCACUUCAGCUUCCUAAGUAGCUGGGACUGGAGGUGGAGACUAUCAUGCUAGACUCCUGGGCUCAAGCAAUCCUCCACCUUGGCCUCCUAAAGUGCUGGGGUUACAGGUGGGAGUCACCAUGUCUGGCUGUAAAAGUCUUUUAAGGGACUUAUGUUUUCACUUGCCUUGGGCAAACCUAAAAGUGGGAUUGCUGAGAAAUGGGCAAACAAUUAAUCAGAGUGGUUGCGCCAUUUGCACUCUCAUCGCCUUGUAUAGUGGUUCCAGGGGCUCCACAUUUUUACCCUUGCCAUGUCGGUCUGCAGUUUCAGCCGUGCUUGGAUGACGGUGGUGGCAUCUCAUUGUGAGUUUACUUUGGGUAACACUGAGCACUAUUUCCUGUUCUUGUUGGCUAUCAGUACAUCUUUGGUGAAGUAUUUACGUCUUUUGUUUAUUUUUAAAUAGACUUGUUAUUGUUAUUUACAGGCUUGUUAUUGUUAUAUUGUUUUGUCCCUUUUGAAAUAGACUUGUCUUGUUAUUGUUCAUUUGCAGGAGUUCUCUAUUUACCAGGACUAUGGUUUGAACGCGUUUUCCCCAAAGUUUAUGUGUUGGAAACUUGACCCCCAAUGCAGCAGUGUUGGAAGGUGCCUACUAGGUGGUGUCUGGGUCAUGGGGGUAUGACCCUCAUGGAUGGAUAAAUGCCAUGACUGAGGCGGUGGGCUCCUUAUAAAAGAAUGAGUUUGGGUGAAACCUCGUCUCUACUAAAAAUACAAAAAUUAGCUGGGUGUGGUGGCACAUACCUGUAAUCCCAGCUACUCGGGAGGCUGAGGCAGAAUAGCUUGAACCAGGGAGUCGGAGGUUGCAGUGAGCAGAGAUCGCACCACUGCACUCCAGCCUGAUGACAGAGCAAGACUCCGUCUCAAAAAAAAAAAAAAAAAAGAUAAGUUUGGCCCAUUUUGCAUCCUCCCUCCCCACCUCCGCCUCCCACCUUCCGUCAUGGGAUGAUGCAGCCCGAAGGUUCUUGCCAGAUGUGGCUCCUUGAUCUUGAACUUCCCAGCCUCCAGAACUGUGAGAAAUAAAUUUCUUUUCAUUGUAAAUCACCCAUUCCCAGGUAUUCUGUUACAGCAGCACAACGUGGAUUAAGACAAGCCAUUUGUGGGAUAUAUGCAUUGCCCCUGUGUUCUCCCAGUCUGUGGCUUGCCUUUUCAUUUUCUUAAUGAUGUCAUGAGAUGAGUAGAAAUAUUAAAUUUUGAUAAGCCAUUUAAUCAUUUUUAAAUGGUCGGUCCAUUUUCUGUCUUACCUGAAGAUCCGUAAGAUCUUUUCUUAUAUUUUAUCCUAGCAACUUUAUAAUUUUUACACUUAAGUCUAUGAUCCAUCUGAAAUUCCUAAAUUCUAU